rnacentral:rRNA from 1 species
CUACGAGGGGCUCCAGUGGGGAAUAUUGGACAAUGGGGGAAACCCUGAUCCAGCAAUGCCGCGUGUGUGAAGAAGGCCUGCGGGUUGUAAAGCACUUUCGGUUGGGAGGACUGCUUCUAGCACUAAUAUUGUUGGAAGUUGACGUUACCUUCAGAAGAAGCACCGGCUAACUCCGUGCCAGCAGCCGCGGUAAUACGGAGGGUGCAAGCGUUGAAUCGGAAUUACUGGGCGUAAAGCGCGCGUAGGCGGCUAGAUCAGUCGGGUGUGAAAGCCCCGGGCUUAACCUGGGAACUGCAUCCGAUACUGUCUAGCUUGAGUACAGGAGAGGAGAGUGGAAUUCCACAUGUAGCGGUGAAAUGCGUAGAUAUGUGGAGGAACACCAAUGGCGAAGGCAGCUCUCUGGCCUGAUACUGACGCUGAGGUGCGAAAGCGUGGGGAGCAAACAGGAUUAGAUACCCUCGUAGUC